AGAGUUUGAUCAUGGCUCAGGACGAACGCUGGCGGCGUGCCUAACACAUGCAAGUCGAGCGAUGAAACCCUUCGGGGUGGAUUAGCGGCGGACGGGUGAGUAACACGUGGGUAACCUGCCUCAAAGAGGGGAAUAGCCUCCCGAAAGGGAGAUUAAUACCGCAUAAUAUGUUUUAGUCGCAUGACUGAAACAUCAAAGGAUUCUCUUCGGAGAUUCCACUUUGAGAUGGACCCGCGGCGCAUUAGCUAGUUGGUGAGGUAACGGCUCACCAAGGCAACGAUGCGUAGCCGACCUGAGAGGGUGAUCGGCCACAUUGGAACUGAGACACGGUCCAGACUCCUACGGGAGGCAGCAGUGGGGAAUAUUGCGCAAUGGGGGAAACCCUGACGCAGCAACGCCGCGUGAAUGAUGAAGGCCUUCGGGUUGUAAAGUUCUGUCUUCUGGGACGAUAAUGACGGUACCAGAGGAGGAAGCCACGGCUAACUACGUGCCAGCAGCCGCGGUAAUACGUAGGUGGCAAGCGUUGUCCGGAUUUACUGGGCGUAAAGGAUGCGUAGGCGGACAUUUAAGUCAGAUGUGAAAUACCCGAGCUUAACUUGGGUGCUGCAUUUGAAACUGGGUGUCUAGAGUGCAGGAGAGGUAAGUGGAAUUCCUAGUGUAGCGGUGAAAUGCGUAGAGAUUAGGAAGAACACCAGUGGCGAAGGCGACUUACUGGACUGUAACUGACGCUGAGGCAUGAAAGCGUGGGGAGCAAACAGGAUUAGAUACCCUAGUAGUCC
rnacentral:rRNA from 1 species